GUCUAUAGGUAGCACAUAUACUAAAAUUGGAACGAUACAGAGAAGAUUAGCAUGUUCCCUACUC
ensembl:snRNA U6 U6 spliceosomal RNA